rnacentral:rRNA from 1 species
GACAGAGGAUGCAAGCGUUAUCCGGAAUGAUUGGGCGUAAAGCGUCUGUAGGUGGCUUUUUAAGUCCGCCGUCAAAUCCCAGGGCUCAACCCUGGACAGGCGGUGGAAACUACCAAGCUGGAGUACGGUAGGGGCAGGGAAUUUCCAGUGGAGCGGUGAAAUGCGUAGAGAUCGGAAAGAACACCAACGGCGAAAGCACUCUACUGGGCCGACACUGACACUAAGAGACGAAAGCUAGGGGAGCGAAUGGG